rnacentral:lncRNA from 10 species
GGACUUUACCUCAAUAUACUCGGUAUAUACUCAAUAUACUCAAUAUGUUCAGGAUUCUUGACUGAUAAUCCUGCCUGUAAGUAAUAGAAUAUUAGAGAUGGUCAGUAUUGUCAGAGAUAACAAGAUCUGCUGCUCACCUAGGAUUCUGACUUGUGCUACUGCUUGGGAAGUGAUUCUCUGGAAACACAAAGAAAGCCCAACCAAGCUCCCCAGCCCUCUCUGCUCACAGCAACAAACUGGGGAUUCUGUCUUAAACAGAAAUAUGAUUUAUCCAUUAGAAUCUUUCCCCAACCCAGUGACACUUUGCUUGACCCAUUGUUCUUGGAGCUAAAGGACUUGAGGUCACUCUGAGAAGGUGUUGAAUCAUAAGAUUUGGUCCAGACUUGAAUAUAUUUUGAAUAAAAGUAAUGAGGGAGAAAAUAACUAUCUAUUUUUAGUUUCCAAAUUUUUCCUCAACUCCCAUCUGGAUAUAGGAGAAAGUCAAACAUUACAAUGUAUAACUACAUUAUAGUUUUAGGGUUAAUAUGUUUUAUGAUAAAAGUAAUCUCAAUUAAGGUCUGCUUGAACUGGGUCCCUUUCAUGAAAGUCUCUCAGUGGUAGAUAGACAGAAUGAGAUUUACAUGCAGACGUUAUCUGAAAUUCCCCUCUUUUAAGGGCAGCAUGGUUCAAAAGGGACUAGUAACUCAUGCUUUUAUUCAGUAAGGAAAAUAUCGCAGAAAUAAAGGAUAAAAUAGUUUCCUUGUAAUUUUUAAUUCAUCUAAAAUCAUGUGAUUCUAGUGACUUUAGUUCAUAAGACUCUUGAAAGAGGACAGAGAACCAAAUAAUAUAGUCUUUAUAGACUUCAUUUGGAAAUUAGGUAUUAUUUACCUUAAAAAUGAUUGAGAAUGUGAAUCUAGGAUUCUGCUAAGAUUACAGCUAACAAAAGGCACAAAGUAAAGUAAAAAGGGAUUGGUAACUGAUAAGCAAAUGAUAGAUGAUUGAGUGGAUAGAUACAUGAAUGGAUUAAUGAAUAGAUAGAAAAGCAGAUAGAUGGAUAAUACAGAUGAAUGAAUUAAUAGAGACACAAAUGGAUAGACAAGGAGAUGACAGAUAAUAGAAAGAUAUUCAUAGAUCAAUACAUGGUUAGUAAAUGAGUAGCGGGAUGCACAUGGAUGAAUAGAUGACUUGGAAGCAGAAUAAAUAGUUGAUAUAUAAAUGAAUAUUGGUAGAUGAAUGAAUAGAUGCUAGAGAUUGAUGAAUGCAAGGGUGAAUUUGGAAUGAAAUUGCAGAUAGAUGCAAGGGUAUGACAAUAUUAUGAUUGUACCCAACUGGAAUGGAAUACCAAUGAAGAUAAUGACAUUUCUUUUCAUGGAACUAUUUUAAAUAGUUUAACUGUUUUAGGAACGUAUGGACUGGUGGCAGAAAAUUAGUCAGUCUCGAAGAGCCCUGAAGUUUCAUAAUAAGUGUCUCAAUGAUAUAAAAAAAAUACAUGAGUGUGCCAUGAUUAGGCCACUUCUGAAUCCUCCCUAGUGCCCCAUUCUGGCCCAUUUGGCCUCU